GAGGGUAUAGCUUAGUGGUAGAGUGUGUGUGUGCUUAGCAUGCUCAAGGUCCUGGGUUCAAUCCCAGUACUUCCA
rnacentral:tRNA from 1 species